rnacentral:miRNA from 1 species
UUUUCCAGCCACUGAGUUUCUGACUUCUGGAAGGAUUUGGGUAGGGAGGAAAAGGUC